rnacentral:rRNA from 1 species
GACGUAGGGGGCAAGCGUUGUCCGGAAUUAUUGGGCGUAAAGAGCUCGUAGGCGGUCUGUCGCGUCGGCUGUGAAAUCCCGGAGCUCAACUCCGGGUCUGCAGUCGAUACGGGCAAACUGGAGUACUGCAGGGGAGACUGGAAUUCCUGGUGUAGCGGUGAAAUGCGCAGAUAUCAGGAGGAACACCGGUGGCGAAGGCGGGUCUCUGGGCAGUAACUGACGCUGAGGAGCGAAAGCGUGGGGAGCGAACAGG